UAUGGUAUUGCCAGACAGAAC
rnacentral:piRNA from 1 species